AGCGCAGGCGGUUUUUUAAGUCUGAUGUGAAAGCCCUUGGCUCAACCAAGGAAGUGCAUCGGAAACUGGAGAACUUGAGUGCAGAAGAGGACAGUGGAACUCCAUGUGUAGCGGUGAAAUGCGUAGAUAUAUGGAAGAACACCAGUGGCGAAGGCGGCUGUCUGGUCUGUAACUGACACUGAGGCUCAAAGGCCAGGGGAGCGAACG
rnacentral:rRNA from 1 species